AACGAACGUUGGCGGCGUGGAUUAGGCAUGCAAGUCGUACGAGUUUCAUCUGGGUAACUGGCUGAAAAAAGUGGCGAACGGGGCAGUAAGGCAUGGAUAAUCUACCCUGAUGACCGGGAUAGCUGUCCCAACGGGCAGGUAAUACCGGAUGAGCUGGUGGGGCCGCAUGGUUCUGCCAGGAAAGGCGCAAGCCGUGUCGGGAGGAAUCCAUGUGAUAUUAGCUAGUUGGUGAGGUAAAGGCUCACCAAGGCGAAGAUGUCUAGCGGGUGUGUGAGCACGACCCGCGCCAUUGGAACUGUGACAGUGGCCAGACACCUACGGGAGGCUGCAGUCGAGGAUCUACGGCAAUGGGCGAAAGCGUGACCGAGCGACGCCGCGUGAGCGAUGAAGGCCAUUAGGUUGUAAAGCUCUGUCGAGGGGGAACAAGACGCAAGGUUGAGUGAACCCUGGAGGAAGCACGGGCUAAGUUCGUG
rnacentral:rRNA from 1 species